rnacentral:rRNA from 1 species
AUUGAACGCUGGCGGCAGGCCCAACGCAUGCAAGUCGAGCGGAUGAAGGGAGCUUGCUCCUGGAUUCAGCGGCGGACGGGUGAGUAAUGCCUAGGAAUCUGCCUGGUAGUGGGGGAUAACGUCCGGAAACGGGCGCUAAUACCGCAUACGUCCUGAGGGAGAAAGUGGGGGAUCUUCGGACCUCACGCUAUCAGAUGAGCCUAGGUCGGAUUAGCUAGUUGGUGGGGUAAAGGCCUACCAAGGCGACGAUCCGUAACUGGCCUGAGAGGAUGAUCAGUCACACUGGAACUGAGACACGGUCCAGACUCCUACGGGAGGCAGCAGUGGGGAAUAUUGGACAAUGGGCGAAAGCCUGAUCCAGCCAUGCCGCGUGUGUGAAGAAGGUCUUCGGAUUGUAAAGCACUUUAAGUUGGGAGGAAGGGCAGUAAGUUAAUACCUUGCUGUUUUGACGUUACCAACAGAAUAAGCACCGGCUAACUUCGUG